rnacentral:lncRNA from 1 species
AGCGGUCAACACGAGCAAGCAUCCUUGUGUGCCCAAUGUACUCUGCUGUUGACCUCAUGCAAACUCAACAUCAAUGAUGGAAACCUUGUCUGAAUACUUCAUAGACUCAGGGAGCCUACUCCAUCUUUCUCCAGUGUUCUAGUCAUCUGGCCUUGAAAAGCGAAAUAACUGGCUUUUCUAUGAUAUUCUACCUCCAAGAAUACAGGAUGCUGAGCCAGCAGUAGCCAAUACUGGAAUAAAGGAAAUGAGCCAGUACAUCUAAGAAGCCAGUAUGUCCACUCAUGAAUGUCACUUAAGGAUGGAGGUCUGCUAGGAUGCUUGGUACACAAUGGCUGGCAAUGCUCCGCAAUCCAUGGGACAUAGACAUAGUGAACAGUCUAACUCCUGAGAAGUUUCCACGGGUAUCAGCAGUGAUACAGACUAAACACACCACACCACAGAAGCCUUGAGAUCUGAAGAUCACAGCAUUAAGGAAAGGCAGCACUG